rnacentral:rRNA from 1 species
GACGAACGCUGGCGGCGUGCUUAACACAUGCAAGUCGAACGAAGUGGCGAACGGGUGAGUAACGCGUAAUCAACCUGCCCUUCAGCGGGGGACAACAGUUGGAAACGACUGCUAAUACCCCAUACUGAAGGAGGGGCUUGCGUCUGCUUAGCUGGUUGGUGGGGUAACGGCCCACCAAGGCGAAGAUCAGUAGCCGGACUGGGAAGAUGAGGGGCCACAUUGGGACUGGUGCACGGCCCAGACUCCUACGGGAGGCAGCAGUGAGGAAUCUUCCGCAAUGGACGGAAGUCUGACGGAGCAACGCCGCGGGAGUGGUGACGGCCUUCGGGUUGUAAAGCUCUGUUAAUCGGGACGCGGUACCGGAAUAGAAAGCCACGGCUAACUACGUGCCAGCAGCCGCGGUAAUAC